rnacentral:rRNA from 1 species
CCUACGGGCGGCAGCAGUGAGGAAUAUUGGUCAAUGGCCGGGAGGCUGAACCAGCCAAGUCGCGUGAGGGAAGACGGCCCUAUGGGUUGUAAACCUCUUUUGUCCGGGAGUAAGGUGCAGUUCGGGACCUGCUUUGAGAGUAUCGGAAGAAUAAGCAUCGGCUAACUCCGUGCCAGCAGCCGCGGUAAUACGGAGGAUUCGAGCGUUAUCCGGAUUUAUUGGGUUUAAAGGGUGCGUAGGGGGUCGGAAAAGUUGGAGGUAAAAUCGCGGGGCUCAACCCCGCCACGCCGUUGAUACUGUGGCCCUAGAGUUCACUAAGGGUAGGCGGAAUGUGUGGUGUAGCGGUGAAAUGCAUAGAUAUCACGCAGAACUCCGAUCGCGAAGGCAGCCUACC